rnacentral:rRNA from 1 species
UACGUAGGGUGCAAGCGUUGUCCGGAAUUAUUGGGCGUAAAGAGCUCGUAGGCGGUUUGUUGCGUCGGCUGUGAAAUCCCGAGGCUCAACCUCGGGUCUGCAGUCGAUACGAGCAAACUAGAGUGUUGCAGGGGAGACUGGAAUUCCUGGUGUAGCGGUGAAAUGCGCAGAUAUCAGGAGGAACACCGGUGGCGAAGGGCGGGGUCUCUGGGGCAACAACUGACGCUGGAGGAAGCGAAAAGCGUGGGGGAGCGAACAGG